rnacentral:tRNA from 1 species
GGAGGGUACAGCUCAGUGGUAGAGCGCAUGCCUAGCAUGUGCAAGGUCCUGGGUUCAAUCCUCAGCACCUCCA